rnacentral:rRNA from 1 species
GCUGGGUGGAUCAGUGGCGAACGGGUGAGUAACACGUGAGCAACCUGCCCCAGACUUCGGGAUAAGCCUUGGAAACGAGGUCUAAUACUGGAUAUGAGGUCACAUCGCAUGGUGUGGUCUGGAAAGAUUUAUCGGUCUGGGAUGGGCUCGCGGCCUAUCAGCUUGUUGGUGGGGUAGUGGCCUACCAAGGCGACGACGGGUAGCCGGCCUGAGAGGGCGACCGGCCACACUGGGACUGAGACACGGCCCAGACUCCUACGGGAGGCAGCAGUGGGGAAUAUUGCACAAUGGGCGCAAGCCUGAUGCAGCGACGCCGCGUGAGGGAUGAAGGCCUUCGGGUUGUAAACCUCUUUCAGCAGGGAAGAAGCGCAAGUGACGGUACCUGCAGAAGAAGCGCCGGCUAACUACGUGCCAGCAGCCGCGGUAAUACGUAGGGCGCAAGCGUUGUCCGGAAUUAUUGGGCGUAAAGAGCUCGUAGGCGGUCUGUCGCGUCUGGUGUGAAAACUCAAGGCUCAACCUUGAGCUUGCAUCGGGUACGGGCAGACUAGAGUGCGGUAGGGGAGACUGGAAUUCCUGGUGUAGCGGUGGAAUGCGCAGAUAUCAGGAGGAACACCGAUGGCGAAGGCAGGUCUCUGGGCCGCAACUGACGCUGAGGAGCGAAAGCAUGGGGAGCGAACAGGAUUAGAUACCCUGGUAGUCCAUGCCGUAAACGUUGGGCACUAGGUGUGGGGCUCAUUCCACGAGUUCCGUGCCGCAGCAAACGCAUUAAGUGCCCCGCCUGGGGAGUACGGCCGCAAGGCUAAAACUCAAAGGAAUUGACGGGGGCCCGCACAAGCGGCGGAGCAUGCGGAUUAAUUCGAUGCAACGCGAAGAACCUUACCAAGGCUUGACAUACACCGGAAACUUCCAGAGAUGGUUGCCCCGCAAGGUCGGUGUACAGGUGGUGCAUGGUUGUCGUCAGCUCGUGUCGUGAGAUGUUGGGUUAAGUCCCGCAACGAGCGCAACCCUCGUCCUAUGUUGCCAGCACGUGAUGGUGGGGACUCAUAGGAGACUGCCGGGGUCAACUCGGAGGAAGGUGGGGAUGACGUCAAAUCAUCAUGCCCCUUAUGUCUUGGGCUUCACGCAUGCUACAAUGGCCGGUACAAAGGGCUGCGAUACCGUAAGGUGGAGCGAAUCCCAAAAAGCCGGUCUCAGUUCGGAUUGGGGUCUGCAACUCGACCCCAUGAAGUCGGAGUCGCUAGUAAUCGCAGAUCAGCAACGCUGCGGUGAAUACGUUCCCGGGCCUUGUACACACCGCCCGUCAAGUCACGA